rnacentral:pre_miRNA from 1 species
GAUUUCUGCUGAAAAAGUCAUCAACAACAAAGUUGUAUAACUCAUCAAGAUCUAUAACUUCUAUUUUGGUCAUUUCUUCAUCCAAUAAAGUAAUAGUAGCAUUUUCACAAAAUUUACAUUUCUCUCUUAUAGUUUAUAAAACUAUAUAAGAGAUAUGUACAUUUUGUGAACAAUAUUACAAAUCACUUUGUCGGAUGAAGAAAUGAUCAAAAUAAAAGUUAUAGAUCAUGAUGAGUUAUACAACUUUGUUCUUCAUGACUUUUUCAGUUGAAAUC